AAAAUGGAUCCUACUCAGAAGCAUGAAUUAUUUGAUGAAAAUCUCAGUGUCAACGUGUGCAGGAUGUUUCCUUGGUCAAGGGUGCCAGAGGGGUUCAGAAAACAGCAUGGGUCAUUGCCUUUGCUCUUGGUUGCCUACUGAAACUAGAUAGUAAAACCAUAUUACUGAGGACACAACACACUUUGACUCCAGGACAUACUGAAAUCAAGCUGGAAUUGACCUGAAAACUUCCUCCCUGAUGGCUAGCUUAACAGUGUUAGAAGGCACAAAGCAGGCUUCUGGGGGAGAAGAGUCACCAACAGUCUUUCUGUAUGCUGAAUCCUGAACUCUGGAAUACUAAUCUACAAGACAAGAUAUGCUCCUUAGUAAAAUAGCCACACAGAGAUUAUGGAGGUAAGCAAGUGGGUUCUAUUGGAUGUGAGACUUGCUCCACAGGAGGGGAUGGAUCCCUGGUACUGCACAACUUUCAAGAACCCAUCACUAGGUAUCUCACUAUCCCUAGAGGGAAGCCGCCUUCUGGUAUUUUGCUAAAUGGACAUGUUUUCGAACUGCCUUCUAAAUAUUUAUGUUUAUACUUGAAGGUUAGCCCUCCUCUCAACUUUGGACAGAGAGGCUUCCUCCAAAGUCACAGGUCAAUGUAGAUGUGCCCAACUGGUCAAAAUGAUGGCAAGGGUCUGUUGAGUGCUCUGCCCUAAGUGACACACCCACACCAUGCAAACACUGAUCCAGUUGACAGUUGGGAAGGAAAUUUCCCAAACAGAUCAUUUCUGGCAUCCUUGGAAAGAUUUCCGAGUAGUUCUACAUGAUGGGAAGACCCUGCGUCAACAUACCUCAAGUUUAUAUCCACUGAGUGUCUUUAAUUAAAAGAAAUUCAUCUGCCAGCAGGACAAGAACACAGAGCUCAAGAGAGAGGAGUUGUGCAGGAACAACAGUGACUGGAGCAAGAAACCCUCUACACAUUGUCACCAGCAUUCUCAGAGCCUGGGAGGACCUCAGAGACCUAACCAUAAUGGAUCCAUUUACAACACAACUCAACCAAAGGCGCAGGGAACCUCAUGCAAAAGGGUAUAGAAAGAUUUAAGAGCCAGAAGAACAGUAAAUCGGCUGUAAAUUUCUGCCUUGUGGGAAUGGCAGGAAAGCUUCAUCCAAUAUACCUUAGCAACACGGCUGCCUGUGCAAGAACUUAAAGUACAACACCGAGAGACAUGCUAACAUGGAAGCAGGAAAUCUCAUGGGCCUCCUCACCUCUAAACAAAGAACUACAGACAACUAAAGAAGGUGGACAGUGGGAGAAAUAGUCUUCCCAAGGAAUUAGCUCCUCAACUAGCUAUUUGGUACUAAGGAGUCAGUCUUGAAAUCAUAUACGUACAAGGAACACUAAAUAGACAGAGCAGGUUGUAUUUGUUUAGUUAUAUGUGCAUGUGUUAAAGUGUGUGUGUUUAUAACCUUUUUAAUGUUUAAAAAAAGGAGUACUAUUUGGAAAAAAACUGACAAUAUAGGCACUUUGGAUGAAGGGCUCACUUCAGGGUCAUUUUAUCAAUGUCCAUGCUCAUUGAUAUACAGUGGAAACUGCCCAGCGGCUAACCUGAAGCACAUCCCAAAGUGCACAGAAAAGCUGGACCAAGUAGAUUUCAA
rnacentral:lncRNA from 1 species